UCAUUAAAUAUAGUGUCUAAGCCAGCGUUCCUCAAUGACUGGUCUGUGGACCACCGCUGGUCCCUGAGAUCUCCCUGACACAGUGUAGGAAGGCAGCAAGCCAGUCCCUGGUAUCAAAAAGGUU